rnacentral:rRNA from 1 species
UUCCGGUUGAUCCUGCCGGACCCGACUGCUAUUUGGGUGAGAGUAAGCCAUGCGAGUUGUAUGGGACACCUAAUUUUCCCAUGGCAAACUGCUCAGUAACACAUGAUCAACUUACCCUAUAGAGGAAAAUAACCUCGGGAAACUGAGGAUAAUCUUCCAUAGUUGAAUCGGCUUGGAAAAGUUUUUCAAUAAAAGGGAUAAGAAAAAUGGUUCUUAUCUGCUAUAGGAUAGGAUCGUGCUCGAUUAUGGUUGUUGGUGAGGUAACGGCUCACCAAGCCGAUAAUCGAUAGGGGCCGUGAGAGCGGGAGCCCCGAGAUGGGUACUGAGACAACGACCCAGGCCUUACGAGGCGCAGCAGGCGCGGAACCUCCGCAAUACACGAAAGUGUGACGGGGUUACCCAAAGUGUUCUAUUUAGAACUGUGGUAGGUGAGUAAUGUCCCCUACUAGAAAGGAGAGGGCAAGGCUGGUGCCAGCCGCCGCGGUAAAACCAGCUCUUCAAGUGGUCGGGAUAAUUAUUGGGCUUAAAGUGUCCGUAGCCGGUUUAGAAAGUUCCUGGUAAAAUCGGGUAGCUUAACUAUCUGUAUGCUAGGAAUACUACUUUACUAGAGGGCGGGAGAGGUUUGAGGUACUACAGGGGUAGGGGUGAAAUCUUAUAAUCCUUGUAGGACCACCAGUGGCGAAGGCGUCAGACUGGAACGCGCCUGACGGUGAGGGACGAAAGCCAGGGGAGCGAACCGGAUUAGAUACCCGGGUAGUCCUGGCCGUAAACGAUGCAUACUAGGUGAUGGUACGGCCAUGAGCCGUGUCAGUGCCGUAGGGAAACCGUUAAGUGUGCCGCCUGGGAAGUACGGUCGCAAGGCUAAACUUAAGGAUUGGCGGGGAGCACACAAGGGGUGAAGCCUGCGUCAUGGAUCACGCG